AUUGAACGCUGGCGGCAUGCUUUACACAUGCAAGUCGAACGGUAACAGGCCUUCGGGUGCUGACGAGUGGCGCACGGGUGAGUAAUGCAUCGGAACGUGCCCAGAGGUGGGGGAUGACGCAGCGAAAGCUGUGCUAAUACCGCAUGUGAUCUGAGGAUGAAAGCGGGGGACCAGGCAGCAAUGUUUGGCCUCGCGCCUUUGGAGCGGCCGAUGUCAGAUUAGGUAGUUGGUGGGGUAAAGGCCUACCAAGCCGACGAUCUGUAGCUGGUCUGAGAGGACGACCAGCCACACUGGGACUGAGACACGGCCCAGACUCCUACGGGAGGCAGCAGUGGGGAAUUUUGGACAAUGGGCGCAAGCCUGAUCCAGCAAUGCCGCGUGCGGGAAGAAGGCCUUCGGGUUGUAAACCGCUUUUGUACGGAACGAAAAGGCUCUGGCUAAUACCUGGGGCUGAUGACGGUACCGUAAGAAUAAGCACCGGCUAACUACGUG
rnacentral:rRNA from 1 species